UACGGGAGGCAGCGGUGGGGAAUAUUGCACAAUGGGCGAAAGCCUGAUGCAGCUAUGCCGCGUGUAUGAAGAAGGCCUUAGGGUUGUAAAGUACUUUCAUCGGGGAGGAAAAACAAAACUAAUAAUUUUAUUUCUUGACGUUACCCGAAAAAGAAGCACCGGCUAACUCCGUGCCAGCAGCCGCGGUAAUACGGAGGGUGCUAGCGUUAAUCAGAAUUACUGGGCGUAAAGAGCACGUAGGUGGUUUUUUUAAGUCAGAUGUGAAAUCCCUGGGCUUAACCUAGGAACUGCAUUUUGAAACUGAAAUACUAGAGUAUCGUAGAGGGAGGUAGAAUUCUAGGUGUAGCGGUGAAAUGCGUAGAUAUCUGGAGGAAUACCUGUGGCGAAAGCGGCCUCCUAAACGAAUACUGACACUGAGGUGCGAAAGCGUGGGGAGCAAACGAGGGAUUAGAUACC
rnacentral:rRNA from 1 species